rnacentral:rRNA from 1 species
GGUUCGAUCCUGGCUCAGAUUGAACGCUGGCGGGAUGCUUUCAUACAUGCAAGUCGAACGGCAGCACGGACUUCAUCUGCAGGCGAUAUGAACGGGUGAGUAAUGUAUCAGAAAUUGUGCCUAGUAGUGCGGAUAACUACGCGAAAGUUGUAGACAAUAAUGAAUACCCCCUUCGGGGAAAGCGGGGACCUUCGGGCCUCGCACUAUUAGAGCGGCCGGUAUCGGAUUAGCUAGCCAGUAACGGUCACAUCAAGGCGACGAUCCGUAGUUGGUUUGAGAGACGACCAGGCCACACUGGACUGAGACGGCCCAGACUCCUACGGGAGGCAGCAGUAAUGGGAUAACGCUGGGAAACUCUGAUCCAGCCAUCCUGCGUGCACAAGGCUUCGGCUAAAAGCACUUUUGGCAGGGUGAAACGGCACGGGAUAGCUCUCGUGCAACCGAUUGUAUUCUCGUGAACAUGGGAUCAGCUAACCUACGCCAGCAGCCGCGGUAAUACGUAGGGUGCAAGCGACUGGAAUUACUAAGUGGAAGCGCGCAGGCGGUUCGGCAAGAAAAGAUGUGAAAUCCCAGAGCUUAAUCCGAACCUGCAUUUUUAACUACUGAGCUAGAGUGUGUCAGAGGGAGGUGGAAUUCCGCGUGUAGCAGUGAAAUGCGUAGAUAUGGAGGAACACCACGGCGAAGGCAGCCUCCUGGGAUAACACUGACGUCGAUGCAAUGAAAGCGUGGGGAGCAAACAGGAUGAUAUCUGUAGUCCACGUCCUAAACGAUGCGUUUAACUAGCUGCUAGCCUGGGCCUUGGUGGCGCAGCUAACGCGUGAAGUUUGACCGCCUGGGGAGUACGGUCGCAAGAUUAAAACUCAAAGGAAUUGAUUGUGACCCGCACAAGCGGUGGAUGAUGUGGAUUAAUUCGAUGCAACGCGAAAACCCUCACCACUUUGACAUGUCUGGAAUCCCGAAGAGAUUUGGGAGUGCUCGCAAGAGAACCGGAACAUGGUGGUGCCGUAUGGCUGUCGUCAGCUCGUGUCGUGAGAGAUGCUGUUAGUCCCGCAACGAUGCAAUCCCUUGGUUGAAGAGUUGUUGAAAGGGCACUCUAUCGAGACUGCCGGUGACAAACCGGAGGAAGGUGGGAUGACGUCAAGUCCUCAUGGGCCUUAUGGGCAGGGCUUCACACGUCAUACAAUGGCCGGACAGAGGUCGCCAACCCACAGAGGAGCGAAUCCCAAGAAACCGAUCGGUAGUCCUGGAUCGCAUUCGCAACCUCGAACUGCGUGAAGUCGGAAUCGCUAGUAAUCGCGGAUCAGCAUGUCGCGGGUGAAUACGUUCCCGGCCCUGUACACACCGCCCGUCGAACAGCGGGGAGUGGGUUUUACCAGAAGUAGUUAGCCUAACCGUAAGGAGGGCGAUUACCAUGGGUAGGAUUCAGUUGACUGGGGUGGUCGAA